GGGAAUGUGGCUAAGUGGUAGAGUGCUUGCCUAGCAUGCAUGAAGCCCUGGGUUCAAUUCCUCAGUACCA
rnacentral:tRNA from 1 species